CUUUAACUAAUAUCCAGACUGGUUCUGGAGAAUAGACUGUAGGCAAAAGAACUUCAGGAAAAUGAAGGAUCUUUGGAACUGGUUAUGUCUGGAUAGCGUGAAAGGCAGUGCCACCUCCCUCUGCAUUCUGGAUAGAAAGCUAGCAACUUCAGUGAUCAGUCUAUCAAAUUAUUGUCCUUUGUCACCAGGAUCCAUGAGCCUCCUGAGAAUACGGCCCUUGGAUACUAUUUACAGCCAACAUAGAACAAUUUGGUGAUGGAAGAAGAAUGCAAGGAUUAUGGAGUCAGAUGGUUGCUAUGUUGAUGCAUAGACGGAAAUACAAGAUACCCAAAUGCCUUGCUUGCAUGGUGACAGAGUUAUCCUUUCAGGAGAGUAGCAAACUCUGGGAAAUUUCUGGAAGAAAUAGAACACUGAUGAGAAUGCAGAGAGGAAACUCCCCAUGACUCUGGGAAGCACAAAGCAGGCACAGGACUCAGCCGACCAUGGUGGUGUGAUUUCAGCUCAAAACAACCUCCAAGAACUCUUGGGAGAAAUUUCCUUGGCUAUCCACCUGACAUGUUAGGAAAAUAAAAUGACAUUAAACACCAUUUCAAACAAACAAACAAACAAACAAACAAACAAAAAAACCACCCUGGUAGACAGCUGUCUCCAGUUACUGAUGAAUGAAAAUGGACGUGGGGUGAGCAAGGGCCCUAAACCAACAAAGCAGCAGACACCCCACCAGCGAUGCCCACCCUGCUGCCGUAUCUGGAGUGAUAUCUGGAAUGUCUGGAAUCAGCAAUCUCAGGACAACACACAUCGCCCCGCAUCGUAUCCUCCCAGGUUGGUUCCAGCUACUGAAUGGAAGCACACGUGAUGGUUGUUUGAAGACUUUUUAAAACUUUGUCAGCCAGAGGUUUCUCAAGAAGUGCCGUGAUGAAACGCGCACCUGGGUGUCAUUUGUGUGGAAGAGCAAGACGCAUGGACCACGGCGGGUGACUAACUGGUCUCUGAGAGGGGAAACCAGAAGAGGUCUCCAGUCCUAGAGCUGGAUCAUCUGCUUUGGUCCCUGGCCCGGUGGACUGAGGAAUAAUGAGGGGGGCUGCAGGCCACCCUGAGGACAGCAGGGCGUUGCAGAAAGAGUCCUGACCCGCUCAGUGAAUGAACAGAUGCAAAUGAAGGCAGUGUGCAGUGACUGAGGAGCCACGUGCCAGGCUCACUUGAGGCUGAUUGAGGGAACACUGGAGAACAGCCUCUUCUCUCUCGGUUCUGGAGGCUGGAAGUCUGAGAUCUGGGUGCCAGCGUGGGCGAGUUCUGACAGCGACAGCCAGAGGAAACGGUGAAACAGACUCCAGCUCAAUGCAAAGGAGAACUUUCAAAUGCUCAGAGAUGGAACAGGUUUUUUCAGUAUUUCAGGUAGGGGCCAGAUGACUUGACCAAGAUUUCAGAGAGAGGAUUCCAGAAUGGAUAAGAGCAGAUGGCCCCCCAGAUUUCUUCCUCUGCUUGAUUCUACCAUGGUCUAAGGUUUGGGGCACUUCCUAGGAUGGUCCACUUGGGUCAACAAGACACAACAGACUGGGAUCCAGGAGGGAGGCACUUUUCUAAGUGCUUUAGAGAUGUUAAUUCAUUUAAUUCUCAAAACAGCUGAAUGAACAGAUACCAUUAAUGACAUCGUUCUCAUUUUACAGAUGCAAAAACUGAGCCAUAUAGUGGCUACAUAAUUUAUCCAGAGUCACACAAGUAAUGAGUGUUAGAGCCAGGGUUUGAAUUUUAGCAUUCUGACCCCAAAGCCUCUGCUCACAACCAUUUCCAUAUAAAAAUCUCUUACUAAGAGAGAAUGUAUAAUUAGAAAAUGUUCCUUUUAUUUCCCUCUGCCUCCCCACCAAGAUUUUUGGUAUGUCCCCUUCCUAUCUUGCAAACCACUGUAUUACUAGAAGUUAAUGAUAGCAGUUGCCAAUGUAACAUUCUCAUUUUGUCAGGUGAUAAUUUACAGGGUCUGAUUCUUCCACUUCACAAACAGGAUCUGAGGCAGGGGGUUCCCAAAUGCACCAUAAAUUCCUACAGACUAAUCAAACUUCUAUGACUGUGUUCAUUCUCUCAGAAGGCCUAACUGAAGGUAUAAACAGUAAUGUCCUGAUCACAAUAUAUAUCUGGUUCCUGUUUAAGUAUUACCUCCACUGUGGGAAACACUGCAUUUCUAUACCUCUUCUAUGGAAGGAAGGCUGGGCCUUACACCAGUGGUUCCUGCAUAUUAACUUCCCUAAUGGUAAGUGGAAUUUGGUAAUAAAAGGAACGACACUUGACACACAGUAGGUACUAAAUAUGUAUUUGUUUAAUACAUGUGAUCAAUUGGAAUUUAUUGACUUUAGGAGAAUAAAGGUGUCAGAUAAUCUAUUUCCCCUCAUGGUGUUUUUUGGUCUCUGACAGUAGCUUGUCCUAUUUAAUUUUUUGCCCUCCAAAUCUUUGUGCUUCCAGUAACUGGGCAAACAAAAAUUAAAGUGUCUUCUCAACUGCUGCAUUCCUGAGGGUAAAAAUCUUUCUUAGGAGAAAAUGUUGUUGUUACUGUUUAGACAAACUAUGCUUCCAGCAUGCUUUUAUUCCAGAUCUUUUUUUCCUCAGUAUUCACAGUAAGCUUUGCUAAUCCAAUUAGGACACAGAACAUGAACUGUUAAAAUAACUGAUUCACUCUAUAGAUAAGGAUACAGGCUUUGUGUCUAAGAAGACCGCUUGAUUCGCUGUGUACAAGGACAGACUGUUCCUUGCCUGGUUUAUUUACCAUGUGUUUUAAUUAGCUGCCCGGCCUUUCAUGGUAGUCGCUGUUCCAAAAGUGGAGAGAUUUGAGCUUGUUAAAGUGAUGGCUUAAGUAAGAGCUUUGUCAUUGUGUCUGUACUUUUCUCUCUGCUCUCACUUCUGCUCAGAGACUGAGCUCUGUAGCCCAAUAUGACAACAUUGGUAUCCUCCCAGAGGCCCCAGAAGCAGGUUACACUACAUUGUGGGCUCCUCAGUGGCACAAACUUUGUCUCAUUGUCUUUGUACCCUCAUGGCGUAGCACAGUGCCCAGCAAUGCUUACAGGAAAUGCUUAAGAAAUACUGGUUGAACUUUUCAACUGAGGCCCAUUCAGGAAGGCACACACCUUUGUCAUCCUCUCUCUCAUAUUGUCUCUCACAUAUUGUCAAUCUCAAAAUCCUGUGUAAUCUGUCCAGAGGUAAUAUGCAAUGACUAUUUAACCAACAGUGCACAGGGGCACCGACCAGUGAGCCAUUGAGCUGGAACAGGAUCCUGAAGGACCCUGCCUAUGAUAGACGUUGACUCCACAGAUCCAGGGAAGGGACAUUCAAGGGAGAACCUCGGGUUGGGGCAGUGGUACUUACUAGUUGAAAUGGAAGUAUUUAAAUAUUUUAACAAAGGUACAGCUGUACUUGUGCAUACCAGCUGAUCAUAUCUGUUUAAUUCCCCCAAAGCCCCAAAGCCAUGCAGUACAAUGCAGCCAGACUUAUCUUUUUUUCCUUUCCCAAAUGGAAAUAUCAUUGCUUUUUUCCUCUGAUAAACAUAGCUGUUGUAAAAAUAUAGUAAAAUUAGAUGAGCUGGGAAGUUGGUAGCUGCGGCAUAGUUUUUGUAAUUUCUCUGAAUCGCCAAAUACAGACAGAUAGAGCAACUAGAUGGCGAAACCAAAAACCCGUGAACACAUUUACAAUAAAACUGGGUGACAAGAUAUUCCCCGAGUCCCCAAAUACAUGCAUGAUAUCAACAUCUGUGCAGAGAAAGCAGAGGGAAUCAGUGGGGCGUAUGAUGGGAUGGAGAGCGGGAGAAUCCCAGAACAGUCAACAGGCACGCACUGAACGCAGGGCAGGCUCAUUUGAGAACAGCAGCUGUAACUGGGAAGAGCCCGCCAACGCCAAGAGCAGGAGAGUUUCCAGUAAAAAUGGAAGGAGCAGAAGCAGCCUGUUACAGACUCUCACAACUGACCAGCCAGGGACCCUUUUCAGGAUAGGAUACUGGCUUGAGAAGAAACCGUGGAAGGAGACAAUAGAGAAGGGAAAAAAGCCAGAGGUAAGUGGGGGAAGGAAAGAGAUCCAAGAAAUCUCAGAGCAAGCUGCCAUGUUUUUUAGAUCCUCAUUAGACCAUCAGAAAAGGGUGUUCCAUGAAGUUACUAGAGCUACUUCGGGCCACACUUCUUCCUAAAAUUUCAGGAAAGCUAAUUUUCCAUAAAAAAAUAAGUAAUAAAAAGUAUGAAGUUCAAAUCCCACACAAAGUUGUUUUAAGAAAAAAAGGUGUGCACCACAGAACAUCUAUCUAGACAGUGGAAUCACACCAGAAAUACAUGUGCACAGAACAGAUCAAAACUAUAACCUUCUAUUUAAAAGCCAGCUAGAAGAUAUUAAGAAAGUCAUAGAAGAUACGAGCACAAGUCAAAUUAGAAAAAAAAUUUUAAUGAGAUGAUCGAACUUAGGAAAGAAUUAGGAAGAAAUAAAGAAAGAAACUUUAGAAAUGAAGACUAAACUAAAAACAAAUAAAUCAACAGAUGGGCCCUUAAGGAAAACAGAAUGUGGAAAGAAUGACAUUUCUUUAACAAAUUAAGAAAGAAACAAAAAUUUCAGGAGAAAGUAACAAAUACUGAAGAUAGAAAAAUAAGAUCCACCAUGUAGACAAUAGGAAUCCCUGAAGACAAAAACUAAAGGAAAGGAACAGAACACAUGAUAAAAUUAUAAUUCAAGAAAAUUUCCCCAAAAUUAAAAAAAAAUUCAAAAGUACACAUGAAAAGAACAUGCUGCACAUGAGAAUAUGAUACCAAAACUACCAAUACUUAGAUACAUUCUGGAAAAUUCACUGUCUUUUAAAGAAGAAAAAAUCAUUUGAGCAUCUAAGCAAAACAGGAAAAGAAAAUUAUCUUAUUAGUGUCAGACUUUAUGAAAGCAACAGUUUACCCCAGAAGAAAACAGAAUCACAUAUUUAACUAAUUUAAGACACUCAAGGUAGGAAAAUGUGAACCAUGUACAGUAAAACUGACUGUCAGGUAUGUAAGUGUUUUACCUGACAGCUGUCAUUAGUAGGCAAACUAUUAUCAACAUUCAAGAACUCAGGGAAUAUUGUUCCAUGAACCUUUUCAGAGGAUUCUAUUGGAGAACAAACUUCAGAUAAGAGACUGGUGGUGAGAGUUGAAAGUACGGCUGUUUUUAAAUUAAGAUAAAAUGGGUGUUAAAAGGAGGAGAGCACAGCAUGUAAUGGCUGUAUGAUCAGAAAAUGUAGAUAAGGCACAACUAUUGAAAAAUGAGGGGGCAGAACAGGGAAAGUAAAUGUGAAAAUGUCCUUCAGUGUUUUCAGUAAUAGUGUUUAGUAGUAUCAGCAUUGCUACUCUGAGUCUGGGGAUAAAGUAAAUAGGUAAAUAUAGGAUAUUCUAAUUCUAUCAUCCCCUGUGUUCUUAGGAACCAGGAUUUUCAUUUGGAAGAAAGAAAACUGUGGAUAUAACAAAAGAGGAAACGCAGAGGACAGAGAACAAAUUGAAGUGCGACGUAACUGUGCAAGCAGCAAAAUCCAGACUGUGGGAAACUCAAGACAAAUACCCAGGGUUCUUCAACCAAGACAGGAAAAGAAAAGAAUGGAGGGGGAAUCUGCAGAUUAAAAGAGACAAUGUAUCAAAUUAUUUUUAAAUACAUGUGUACUUGAGUGAUAAAAUCAUACAGAAAUGUAAAGAAAUUCAAACUUUAAAAGUCAGGAUGAUACUGAUUUUUGUGGGGAGGAAAGGAAACAGGGCACCAGAGGAGUUUCUGGGUGACUGACAAAGUUCUAUUUGUUGACUUGAAUAGUGGUUCCAAGGGUGUUCACCUUAGUAACUUAAAAAGCCACAUAUUUGUCUUUUGUUUGUGUUUGUAUCUGUGUUUCAUUUUUAAAUAAAAAGGUUUUUAAAAAUGAUGCUGAAAUUAUAAGCUCUUCCCUUAAUUCUCUACCCCAACUUCAGAGAUAAAUACUGUUAUCAUUUUGGUGUUUGUCUUUCCA